rnacentral:rRNA from 1 species
UACGUAGGCAGCGAGCGUUGUUCGGAGUUACUGGGCGUAAAGAGUGCGUAGGCGGUUUUCUAAGUUUGGUGUGAAAUCUCCCGGCUUAACUGGGAGGGUGCGCCGAAAACUGGAAGGCUUGAGUAUGGGAGAGGUAAGCGGAAUUCCUGGUGUAGCGGUGAAAUGCGCAGAUAUCGGGAGGAACACCGGUGGCGAAGGCGGUUCUCUGGGCAUUACCUGACGCUGAGGAGCGAAAGUGUGGGGAGCGAACAGG